UGGGGAAUCUUGGACAAUGGGCGCAAGCCUGAUCCAGCCAUGCCGCGUGGAUGAUGAAGGCCUUAGGGUUGUAAAAUCCUUUCGCCGAGGACGAUAAUGACGGUACUCGGAGAAGAAGCUCCGGCUAACUUCGUGCCAGCAGCCGCGGUAAUACGAAGGGGGCUAGCGUUGUUCGGAUUUACUGGGCGUAAAGCGCGUGUAGGCGGGUCGUUAAGUUGGGGGUGAAAUCCCGAGGCUCAACCUCGGAACUGCCUUCAAAACUGGCGACCUGGACCUAAGUAGAGGCAAGUGGAAUUGCGAGUGUAGAGGUGAAAUUCGUAGAUAUUCGCAGGAACACCAGUGGCGAAGGCGACUUGCUGGACUUAUGGUGACGCUGAGACGCGAAAGCGUGGGGAG
rnacentral:rRNA from 1 species